rnacentral:rRNA from 2 species
UGCGAAUGCUGACAUAAGUAACGAUAAAGCGGGUGAAAAGCCCGCUCGCCGGAAGACCAAGGGUUCCUGUCCAACGUUAAUCGGGGCAGGGUGAGUCGACCCCUAAGGCGAGGCCGAAAGGCGUAGUCGAUGGGAAACGGGUUAAUAUUCCCGUACUUGGUGUUACUGCGAAGGGGGGACGGAGAAGGCUAUGUUGGCCGGGCGACGGUUGUCCCGGUUUAAGCGUGUAGGUGUGUGUUCCAGGUAAAUCCGGUUCACUUUAACACUGAGGCGUGACGACGAGGCACUACGGUGCUGAAGCAACAAAUGCCCUGCUUCCAGGAAAAGCCUCUAAGCAUCAGGUAACAUCAAAUCGUACCCCAAACCGACACAGGUGGUCAGGUAGAGAAUACCAAGGCGCUUGAGAGAACUCGGGUGAAGGAACUAGGCAAAAUGGUGCCGUAACUUCGGGAGAAGGCACGCUGACAC